CAGCAGCCGCGGGAAUACGUAGGUGGCAAGCGUUGUCCGGAAUUAUUGGGCGUAAAGGGCUCGCAGGCGGUUUCUUAAGUCUGAUGUGAAAGCCCCCGGCUCAACCGGGGAGGGUCAUUGGAAACUGGGGAACUUGAGUGCAGAAGAGGAGAGUGGAAUUCCACGUGUAGCGGUGAAAUGCGUAGAGAUGUGGAGGAACACCAGUGGCGAAGGCGACUCUCUGGUCUGUAACUGACGCUGAGGAGCGAAAGCGUGGGGAGCGAACAGGAUUAGAUACCCCCGUAGUCCCUGUCUCUUAUAA
rnacentral:rRNA from 1 species